ensembl:snRNA U2 U2 spliceosomal RNA
AUCUCUUCUCGGCCUUUUGGCUAAGAUCAAGUGUAGUAUAAAAUCAUUACAUAAAUUUGAAAGUGUUGGUAUUAGGAUACAGACUACUA